rnacentral:rRNA from 1 species
GACGAACGCUGGCGGCGUGCCUAACACAUGCAAGUCGAGCGGAGUUGACAAGAGGAAGUUUUCGGAUGGAAUCUUGCCAGCUUAGCGGCGGACGGGUGAGUAACGCGUGAGCGACCAACCUUGCACAGGGGGAUAACGGACCGAAAGGUUCACUAAUACCGCAUGAGACCACGGUGUUGCAUGACACAGGGGUCAAAGGAGGAAUCCGGUGCAAGACGGGCUCUCGUCCGAUUAGGUAGUUGGAGGGGUAACGGCCCACCAAGACUAUGAUCGGUCGCCGACCUGAGAGGGUGAUCGGCCACAUUGGAACUGAGGUACGGUCCAAACUCCUACGGGAGGCAGCAGUGGGGAAUAUUGGGCAAUGGGGGAAACCCUGACCCAGCAACGCCGCGUGAAGGAAGAAGGUUUUCGGAUUGUAAACUUCUGUCCUUGGUGAAGAGAAGAAGACGGUAGCCAAGGAGGAAGCCCCGGCUAACUACGUGCCAGCCGCCGCCGUAA